UGAGGGACGUGCGGGCCAAGUGCUUUGCUGAAGGACAGGAGAGCCCUGAGGGCUCGAUUUUGGACUUGGGGAAAAGCAUGCUCAGUCCCAAGCCUCCAGGCUCACUGGGCCUGGACAGGUAAGGCAACAGCUGUACAGGCUUUGGUUCCUCUCCCCUACACUCCUAUAGAAAUGUGCCCCGUGAGUCUGCCUGGAGGAUCCAGAAAGAGGAACGCAGAAGUCCUUUCCACCCUCCCAACUCUUCUGGCACCUGGCAGCCAAUUGCACAUUAGGUGCUGAGACCAUCAGGUAUUUUUUCAUGUGGGCAUCUGAACGGUGGUGGGACUGCAGUCUCUUUUGGUCACAAUAACCCUGAAGAUGUUUGUGACAGCUUUUUACACCUCUUAUGCAAUACAGAAGGAGUUUGUGAUAAUUUCAUGCCACAGGAACCACUCUUUAGAUGCUGAGAGCAGCAUCUUCCCAAACAGCUGACUGAUCUGCAGGGGAAAGACAAGCCAGUGUGCCAGGGAUGGAGCAAGUACUGCUCUGCAUCAGCUGCUCCUGGAGGAGAGGGGGAGAACAGCAGCAGUGGUGUUGUGGAUGGUGUGGAAACCAACUUCAGCUCAGGACUUGCAAUGGCUGCUUUCCUGAAGGUUAGAACAAAUGUACGGAAAAGGUAUUUGGAGUUAAGACUUGCCUUAAAAAAAAAAAAACACAGGAAAGCUAAAGCAAGUAUGAAAAUAAAUUAGAAAUGAGGGGCAGAUAAAAGCAGAACCUGCAGGAAUCAAAUCUAAACAAAAAGCAGGGGCUGGGCCGUCCAGUGAGAAAGCCACAAAUGGCAGGGGUUGAAAUGUAAAACCUACAGGCCACUGAGAAACAUGAAAGAUGCUGUUGUGUUCCACACCUCCUUUUCCCGGGUGUAGCUGUCUCCAUACAGUGAAGGGCAGUAAUGAAUCAAGCUCCUUUCCUCUCCUCCUGUGUUUUCUAUUCAAUUAUUCACAGGCUGUGCCAGUUCUGCUUUAUUUCUCCCCUCCAUAUGCUGCACUCUCCUCCUGGGGUUUUCUAUUCUGAGCUAUGCCUUUGGCCUCUCUCCCAUUUCUUUCUCCUCAGCAUGUGCCCCCUGCUCUGCUAUGAUCUGCUGCCUUUGUAACCUCUGCUGUGCACAUAUGCUGGCUCUCCC
rnacentral:lncRNA from 1 species